GGAGAGAUGGCCGAGUGGCUUAAGGCGCACGCUUGGAAAGCGUGUAUACGGGAAACCGUAUCGUGGGUUCGAAUCCCACUCUCUCCGCCA
rnacentral:tRNA from 1 species